AUGUUAGGUUCACAAGAGGUUGAGGCUUUUUCAGAUUUGUUUUUCACCUCUGUGUCUGUACAUGGGAAAGUGCAGCUUAAGGGCAUGCUUGACACUGGGUCUAUGGCCUGUACAUUGAGUGAACAUGCGGAGCAGAGACUUUUGGAAGCAGGUGCCCUUCCUCAGCAUUAUCAGCCUCCCACAGAAUUAGUAUUAGUGGGGUGUGGGGGUAAGAAGACCUCAACAAAGUGUUUCUAUGAUUUGGAGAUGCAAAUCUAUGGGAUUGAUGUUAAAGUGGCCACUCUAGUUGUCCCUGGACAGCGUGAUGAUCUCAUCCUGGGAUCGAAUGUCAUUAAGCAUCUAUUGCAUGAGAUGAAAGGCACUGACGAAUACUGGAAGCUCGUCAACAACAUGGAUGGCCAGACCCACUCCCCAGAGGGUGAGCAGUUUCUGCAGAUGAUGACAAGUGUCACAAGAUGGAAGGGACAGCAAGUCGAUGGCAAGGUUGGGACAGUGAAGCUCACUCAAGCUGUGACUCUUUCGCCCAAGACUGAACACUUAGUUUGGGGUAAACUUCCUAAAUAUGUGGCAUUGUCUCCAGGCAGCACUGUAAUAGUCGAACCUACCAGGUCAAAGGUCAUGCCCAGAAACAUACUCGUGGGUAGAGUUAUUACACCUAUGUGGGGAGAUGGCUGGGUCCCUUUAAAGGUAGUAAACUGUUCUGACAAACAUCUCACCCUAAGACGUAACAUGAAGUUGGCCGAUGUGUCUACAUGCUUGGCUGUUGAGGAUGCAACAAUCUUUCAGGGCCUUCAUGAAGUGAGGAAAACCCCAAUGGAACAGAAGCAGGAUGACAAUGGUUGCCAAAAUCUGAAACAAAGACUGUCUGAUCUAGGAUUAGUAGACAUUGUCAUUGAUGGAUGCCAGGUAACUGACCAGUGGAAGGAAAAGCUUGUGAAUACCAUCACAAAAUAUGAAGAGAUCUUCUCAAGACAUAAUCUGGACUGCGGAGAAGCCAGGGAUUAUGUUCAACGUAUCCACCUGGUUGAUGACAGACCCUUCCGGCUACCAUACAGAAGAAUUCCGCCUGCUCAUUACCUGAAGCUGAGGAAGGUAUUGACAGAUAUGGAAGAAGUAGGUCUUAUACGCAAGUUAGUUAGUGAGUAUGCCUCCCCUUUAGUCAUGGCAUGGAAGAAAGACGGGAGUCUGAGGUUAUGCACUGACUUCAGGUGGAUGAAUGCACGAACGGUGAAGGACGCUCAUCCCCUUCCUCAUAAAGCAAAUUGCUUGGUGGCAGUGAAUUUUUCAGCACCAUGGACUUGA
rnacentral:lncRNA from 1 species